rnacentral:lncRNA from 1 species
GUUGAAGUGCCGUCACUUACCUCACCUUCGCUCUCACCAACCUCGCUUCGGCUUGCUCCGCCGCAAGCCCUAAAAACACAGGUAGACCACCUCCAGAGAGCCGCCAUCAUCGACCGCAUUGACGGAUCCGCAGAUUUGCAGCCUCCACCAAUCUAUGUCAAACCUUUCUCUUCCUCCAUCUCGACUCCUUCCCUGUCCGUCGUCGUGGCGCUCUCCUCUUUCCUCUCCAC